rnacentral:misc_RNA from 1 species
UCUCCGUAGGUGAACCUGCGGAGGGAUCAUUACAAGUACACUACCGGCCUAACCCGCCGGCUAUGUAUAACCCUUUGUUGUCCGACUCUGUUGCCUCCGGGGCGACCCUGCCUUCGGGCGGGGGCCCCGGGUGGACACUUCAAACUCUUGCGUAACUUUGCAGUCUGAGUAAAUUUAAUUAAUAAAUUAAAACUUUCAACAACGGAUCUCUUGGUUCUG